UACGGAGGGAGCUAGCGUUGUUCGGAUAUACUAGGGGCGUAAAGCGCACGUAGGCGGCGCAGCAAGUCAGGGGGUAGAAAAUCCCGGAGCUCAACUCCGGAACUGCCUUUUGAAACUGCAGUGCUAGAAUCCUGGAGAUGGCGAGUGGAAUUCCGAGUGUAGAGGUGAAAUUCGUAGAAUAUCGAGAGGAACACCGGUGGCGAAGGCGGCCUUCUGGACAGUGACUGAACGCUGAGACACGAAAAGCGUGGGGGAAGCAAACAGGG
rnacentral:rRNA from 1 species